UCCCUCCAGAUUUCUUACUCCGCAGAUUGAGAUAGUGGUCUGAGUGGCUCAAAGAGAAGGAAAAGUAAAACUGAAGUCGAAUGGGGGCCUUUUGUGACCUCCACGUUCAUUUCAAACAUCA
rnacentral:snoRNA from 1 species